UACCAUGCAAGUCGAACGCUGAAGCCUGGUGCUUGCCCGGGUGGAUGAGUGGCGAACGGGUGAGUAACACGUGAGUAACCUGCCCCUGACUUCGGGAUAAGCCCGGGAAACUGGGUCUAAUACCGGAUACGACUGCCGGACGCAUGUCUGGUGGUGGAAAGUUUUUUCGGUUGGGGAUGGGCUCGCGGCCUAUCAGUUUGUUGGUGAGGUAAUGGCUCACCAAGACGACGACGGGUAGCCGGCCUGAGAGGGCGACCGGCCACACUGGGACUGAGACACGGCCCAGACUCCUACGGGAGGCAGCAGUGGGGAAUAUUGCACAAUGGGGGAAACCCUGAUGCAGCGACGCAGCGUGCGGGAUGACGGCCUUCGGGUUGUAAACCGCUUUCAGCAGGGAAGAAGCGCAAGUGACGGUACCUGCAGAAGAAGUACCGGCUAACUACGUGCCAGCAGCCGCGGUAAUACGUAGGGUACGAGCGUUGUCCGGAAUUAUUGGGCGUAAAGAGCUCGUAGGUGGUUGGUCACGUCUGCUGUGGAAACGCAACGCUUAACGUUGCGCGUGCAGUGGGUACGGGCUGACUAGAGUGCAGUAGGGGAGUCUGGAAUUCCUGGUGUAGCGGUGAAAUGCGCAGAUAUCCGAGGAACACCGGUGGCGAAGGC
rnacentral:rRNA from 1 species